UGCCCUCUCGUCUCUCCUCUCUCUCGAUCUCUCCUCCCUCGGCUGCGACACGAGGGUGCGCCGCCAGCGCCGUGAUUCUCUCCAACUCGCCGCCCCUCACUGACCCUGUGUGGAACGACACCUCUGCGUUCGGCAUUAAAAGGGUUGAAGGGAUCGGCCUAUUAGGCAGAGAGGGCUGCUGAGCGUUCGCCUGGUUCCUCUGGGCAGCGACGUUUCAGGCGUCCUCAAUCCGUACCCCGCGACCGAAGAUCCCCCGCUGCUGAGGCGCUACCCUCCUUCCACAUCGCCGGAUCGACGUCGCCGAACCCGUGCGUGAGAAAGAUUGAAGGAGGUGCCUCGACGGUGACGGCGGUAAGGUCCAUGGAGCGCGCUGAUGUAAUGGGAUUCCUGCCAGAUCGUUCAGGAGAGACAUAGCUGCCCGUAAUCCCCGCCAGAUCAUUCUCAAUCCCUUUUUGUUUGGUCCUUGCUGAUCUUCGGCGGGAACUAUGGGUAGAUUGCCUAUCUUCUAGGAUGUGGUCCGGCGUGCGCGAGCAAAUCUGGAUGGCGAGAGCGAUGUGGGUAGCCGUCGGGAAGAGUUAGCUCCAGAAUGUCAGUGGCGGCGCUCACUCGCGGGACAAGUUACUGAACAAAGUGCAAACUACAGCGAAAAGGUGCCAGAGUCAGGUGAAUCUGCUGUGAAGCCGGAUACAAGAGCUCUGGGUGGACUAAGAGUUAAUUGCAAUCGCUGAGCGUUUCAUGAAGAAGCGAAACUUUAUCGAAACCAAAAUGCAGGUAUGCCCAAGAAUUAAGAUACUUUAUAGAUUUAUCUUAUUGUGUUUGUGUGACGGUAGCUGUGCUGCCAUCUUCUCCCCGUUGGGGAAUCUUAGCAUUGUCCGCGCAA